rnacentral:rRNA from 1 species
GACGAACGCUGGCGGCGUGCCUAAUACAUGCAAGUAGAACGCACAGUUUAUACCGUAGCUUGCUACACCAUAAACUGUGAGUUGCGAACGGGUGAGUAACGCGUAGGUAACCUGCCUGGUAGCGGGGGAUAACUAUUGGAAACGAUAGCUAAUACCGCAUAAUAUUAAUUAUUGCAUGAUAAUUGAUUGAAAGGUGCAAUUGCAUCACUACCAGAUGGACCUGCGUUGUAUUAGCUAGUAGGUGAGGUAACGGCUCACCUAGGCGACGAUACAUAGCCGACCUGAGAGGGUGAUCGGCCACACUGGGACUGAGACACGGCCCAGACUCCUACGGGAGGCAGCAGUAGGGAAUCUUCGGCAAUGGACGAAAGUCUGACCGAGCAACGCCGCGUGAGUGAAGAAGGUUUUCGGAUCGUAAAGCUCUGUUGUAAGAGAAGAACGGGUGUGAGAGUGGAAAGUUCACACUGUGACGGUAUCUUACCAGAAAGGGACGGCUAACUACGUG